rnacentral:rRNA from 1 species
ACGGGAUCCAUCAGGCUUUGCUUGGUGGUGAGAGUGGCGAACGGGUGAGUAAUGCGUGACCGACCUGCCCCAUACACCGGAAUAGCUCCUGGAAACGGGUGGUAAUGCCGGAUGCUCCGACUCCUCGCAUGGGGUGUCGGGAAAGAUUUCAUCGGUAUGGGAUGGGGUCGCGUCCUAUCAGGUAGUCGGCGGGGUAACGGCCCACCGAGCCUACGACGGGUAGCCGGCCUGAGAGGGCGACCGGCCACAUUGGGACUGAGAUACGGCCCAGACUCCUACGGGAGGCAGCAGUGGGGAAUAUUGCACAAUGGGCGCAAGCCUGAUGCAGCGACGCCGCGUGCGGGAUGACGGCCUUCGGGUUGUAAACCGCUUUUGAUCGGGAGCAAGCCUUCGGGUGAGUGUACCUUUCGAAUAAGCACCGGCUAACUACGUGCCAGCAGCCGCGGUAAUACGUAGGGUGCAAGCGUUAUCCGGAAUUAUUGGGCGUAAAGGGCUCGUAGGCGGUUCGUCGCGUCCGGUGUGAAAGUCCAUCGCUUAACGGUGGAUCUGCGCCGGGUACGGGCGGGCUGGAGUGCGGUAGGGGAGACUGGAAUUCCCGGUGUAACGGUGGAAUGUGUAGAUAUCGGGAAGAACACCAAUGGCGAAGGCAGGUCUCUGGGCCGUUACUGACGCUGAGGAGCGAAAGCGUGGGGAGCGAACAGGAUUAGAUACCCUGGUAGUCCACGCCGUAAACGGUGGAUGCUGGAUGUGGGGCCCGUUCCACGGGUUCCGUGUCGGAGCUAACGCGUUAAGCAUCCCGCCUGGGGAGUACGGCCGCAAGGCUAAAACUCAAAGAAAUUGACGGGGGCCCGCACAAGCGGCGGAGCAUGCGGAUUAAUUCGAUGCAACGCGAAGAACCUUACCUGGGCUUGACAUGUUCCCGACAGCCGUAGAGAUAUGGCCUCCCUUCGGGGCGGGUUCACAGGUGGUGCAUGGUCGUCGUCAGCUCGUGUCGUGAGAUGUUGGGUUAAGUCCCGCAACGAGCGCAACCCUCGCCCUGUGUUGCCAGCACGUCAUGGUGGGAACUCACGGGGGACCGCCGGGGUCAACUCGGAGGAAGGUGGGGAUGACGUCAGAUCAUCAUGCCCCUUACGUCCAGGGCUUCACGCAUGCUACAAUGGCCGGUACAACGGGAUGCGACACGGUGACGUGGAGCGGAUCCCUGAAAACCGGUCUCAGUUCGGAUUGGAGUCUGCAACCCGACUCCAUGAAGGCGGAGUCGCUAGUAAUCGCGGAUCAGCAACGCCGCGGUGAAUGCGUUCCCGGGCCUUGUACACACCGCCCGUCAAGUCAUGAAAGUGGGUAGCACCCGAAGCCGGUGGCCUA